rnacentral:rRNA from 1 species
GGACAACCUACCCUAAGGAGGGGGAUAACCCCGGGAAACUGGGGAUAAUACCCCAUAGACUAGAGAAGCUGGAAUGCUCUCAAGUUCAAAGGUCCGCCGCCUUAGGAUGGGUCUGCGGUCGAUUAGGUUGUUGUUGGGGUAACGGCCCAACAAGCUUGUGAUCGAUACGGGUUGUGAGAGCAAGAGCCCGGAGAUGGAUUCUGAGACACGAAUCCAGGCCCUACGGGGCGCAGCAGGCGCGAAAACUUUACAAUGCGGGAAACCGUGAUAAGGGAACCCCGAGUGCCCGUAAAUUCGGGCUGUCCAUCAGCGUAAAUAACUGGUGAAGAAAGGGCCGGGCAAGACCGGUGCCAGCCGCCGCGGUAAUACCGGCGGCUCGAGUGGUGGCCACUAUUACUGGGCUUAAAGCGUCCGUAGCUGGGUUGUUAAGUCUCUUGGGAAAUCUACCGGCUCAACCGGUAGGCGUUCAGGAGAUACUGGCAAUCUAGGGACCGGGAGAGGUGAGAGGUACUCCAGGGGUAGGAGUGAAAUCCUGUAAUCCUUGGGGGACCACCUGUGGCGAAGGCGUCUCACUAGAACGGCUCCGACAGUGAGGGACGAAAGCUGGGGGAGCAAACCGGAUUAGAUACCCGGGUAGUCCCAGCUGUAAACGAUGCGCGUUAGGUGUAUCGGUGACCACGAGUCACCGAGGUGCCGAAGGGAAACCGUGAAACGUGCCGCCUGGGAAGUACGGUCGCAAGGCUGAAACUUAA